CCUUACCUACUCUUGACAUCCAGAGAAUUCGCUAGAGAUAGCUUAGUGCCUUCGGGAACUCUGAGACAGGUGCUGCAUGGCUGUCGUCAGCUCGUGUUGUGAAAUGUUGGGUUAAGUCCCGCAACGAGCGCAACCCUUAUCCUUGUUUGCCAGCACGUAAUGGUGGGAACUCCAGGGAGACUGCCGGUGAUAAACCGGAGGAAGGUGGGGACGACGUCAAGUCAUCAUGGCCCUUACGAGUAGGGCUACACACGUGCUACAAUGGCGUAUACAGAGGGCUGCAAGCUAGCGAUAGUGAGCGAAUCCCACAAAGUACGUCGUAGUCCGGAUUGGAGUCUGCAACUCGACUCCAUGAAGUCGGAAUCGCUAGUAAUCGUGAAUCAGAAUGUCACGGUGAAUACGUUCCCG
rnacentral:rRNA from 1 species